GAUUUUUAAACAAAUUUGGUCCACAGUAUAUAAAGCCCAUUUCACACAGCUAAUACCGCAUCUGAGCCGCCUCUGAUACAGUAACAGGUUCCCUUUCCCACAGAAUUUGGUAUUUUAUUUUUGCGGUAUUUUAAAAGCCGUCGCAACGUGUUCACACAGAGAUAAGUGCGGUAUCGAAGCCGUCUCAAAAACUCCUUUUUUCUUCUGUGUGAAAGGGGUAUAAAAGACACUGAGAAUUCUCCUCCCAACACAAGAGCAUCACCUGUAAGAGAGGGAGAUCUGUGUGUGAAAAUGGGAGCGAUUGUAGCAUUAGCAGUGUUGCUGGGAACUUUAUCUUAUGGUCAGUCUGUUGAGCCCACAGAGGCAGGCUCUACGGUUUUAACACCAGACAGACCGAGUCCACCAACCUCCCUCUUCCCUCUAAUGACAUGCCUGCAAGGCCCCACCCUGACCCUGGCCUGCAUUGCCAGCGGAUUUUUUCCUUCUUCCUCCGUGACCUUCCAGUGGAAGGACACCAGCGGACAGCCCGUGUCUGACUUCACUCAGUACCCAGCAGUGCAGAUCAGUGGGUCUGAAUCCUACACAAGCGUCAGUCAUCUCCGUGUGAAUGCGGCAGAUUGGGAUGCUAAGAAGUCCUACAGUUGUUCCGUGACCCAUUCGUCACUGCCCGGGGAAAAGGAGGCCAGUUUCCUGAAACCAUCUACACCAGGUGUACCGGUCGUUCAAGUGCCCAAGUCACCAACGGUGAGCCUGCUGCUGGUACCCAGCGGCGACAGUCCCCCAGACGUCCUUAUCUGUGUCAUACGGGACUUCUACCCCAGGAGCCUGAGGGUGACCUGGAGAGUAAAUGGUAAAACCCUGACAGGAUCAUCCAACACCUGGCAAUCAGAGAAGCAAGCCUCAGGACUGUACUCAGCCAGCAGCACUGUGAAUGUGGACCGCACCAAAUGGGACAGGAAUGAAGAGUACACGUGUGAAGUACUGCACCAGCAGAAACUCAUCGAGCAGAAAACUUCCAGAGACCAGUCCUUAGACACGCCCUGUCUGGAGGUGACCCUGAAUCCCCCAAAGGCGAGAGAAUUGUUUGUAUAUAACCGGGCUGUGCUGGACUGCGUUAUCACUGGGGAAGAGAGGGCAGCAGUGGAGGGAGCCAGCGUUACCUGGACACCGAGUGGAACAGGCACCUUGAGCAAAGAGAGUCAGAUCACUCCGCACGGAGAUCUGUUCAGGAAGACCAGCACUCUGACUCUGGGACAGGAACGCUGGUUCACCGAGCAAAAUGUUGAGUGCUCUGUCCAACAGAAGAACAGCAAAAAGCCGGACAUCAAAAAAUCUUUCCGCCGGAACACCAGCGGGUCAAAAAUUCCCAAGGUGGCUAUAUACACACCCUCAGAAGAGGACGGCAGUGGGUUUGUCUCCCUGGUCUGUGUAGUGACGGGCUUCUCUCCCCGGGACGUGUCCGUCAUGUGGACAGUGGAUGGAUCCUAUGAAGAGAGCAUCACCAGUGAGCCUGUGGAGAGCAAAACUGGCACCUUCUCAGUCACAAGUCUUUUUGAAAUCCCGACAGCGAAGUGGAAGUCCCAGUCCAAAGUCUCCUGCAAUGUGAUGCACGUUUCUCUGGACAGCAGAGCAGCACCUCUCACAAAAUCUGUGUCCAGAGCAACUGGUAAUUCCAUUGAAUGCGACUGAAUCUCCACACAUAGAAUGCCCUCGGUGAAAAAAUCCCACAACUACUGCACACUGGCCUCAUGCACACAGUCUAAUGUUCAGUAAUUACAGUGGUGCUACAGCCCUGUAUACACAGCAUAACAAAGUGCUGGGACAUCAGUGUUUAGCACCAUUUUGUACUGUGAUGUGAUUGGUGACUAUUGUCCGUAGGAUUGCCAGGGGGUGGAUAUCUGUGGUUCUUUUUCACCUGGGUUAACUGACGUCCUCCAUUACCUGUUGUUUCCUGUCAUGUGUGGUAGCUUCUCUUGGUCUGUUUGUUCAUUUUGUUUGUUUGUUUUGCUUGUAUCCCCAUUAGCUGUUGCAUGUGCAGCAAUUACACAAAACAUAAAAAAAUGACAUAGUUCAGGACAGUAAUUGACAAAAAUAGAACAGCAACAAAAUACGAUAUUGGCAAAGAUUUUAAAUAAUUGUGUUUGUGUUGUGUCACUGUUUCUUGUUGUGUAAAAACGUGUAUGACUUUUUGUACUGUGCUGUCGUGCAAUUUGUUUGCUCCUGUUGUUUGCUGCUGUAGAUGUUCUUGUAGUCACUGUCUUGGCCAGUGUGUGCUCAUAGUAAAAUUACUUGCAGGAAGGGUGUACAUAAAUAAAUAUUAGUGCAUAUGAGUAUUAUUGGGCAUACCUCACUUAAGAAUCAGGACCAUGGGCUCUUGGUACCUGCAUAAGAACCUGCUUAUGACAGGUGCUAUCUGGACUGCAUGUGAGAAAGAAAAUAAAUUAUCACUGGAUCCUGUCUUAGGUUUAGCUUUACAAGAUUGUACUAUUCUACCAAGGAACAUCAUCAAGCUAAACUACCGACAAGCAGCACAAACUCAUCUCAGUGUAAUACUGGUCUUGUUCACCCUUGUCUUGACAAUGGGAGGUUCUCAUGCAGGACAGGUAAUCUUCCUGAAAUUAUGCAGCUAUAUAGCUGUCCCUGCCACAAAUAUCCAAUCAUAUUCUAACUGAUUACAAAUGAAGUCACAGCUCAUUAUAUAUCAUUUAAAAGAGUGAGCAUUUGUGAAACUUGAGAAUACAUUAGAUUGUCACAGAUGUACAGUGCUACACAUGGAAGAUGUGAUGAAAGCUUAUUUUCUGAAUGUAUUGAUAAUUAUAUGUCAAAAGUGUGUUAUACAAAAGAUGUUUUCUUGAGCUGAAUCUCUUUAUUUUUUCCAUUACUCCACUGCGCCUGUGUUUAGAUCUCUUUCAUUACCAAAUAAAUGAAAAUGUCAGUAUAAAAUCUGGUCCAUGCCGGUGUUUUCUGUGGACGUCAGACCCACAGAGCAGCACAUAAUUGGCUGCAGUUUAGUCCAAGGAGGAAAGGUUUUAGUUGGCAGUCCUGUACUCAACCCACUAAGCAAAAAAGAAGCACAGCUCUGGUGGGACCCGCCUGCAAAUUUCUCCGCUACACCCAUGACUGGAACUCCAGCGCUGCUACCGUUGGAGCGCAUCCUCCAUUUCACACUGCAUUAUAUUAAAUAAGUGCAGUGUUUUUGGUUUUUAUUGGUUUUGAGGUUUUACCUCUUACACUAAAUGAGUCCAUUUUAAAUUGUGUAUAUUUCACAUCAUAUCUCUCAAGAAGUUAGUGAAUAUUUUCAUAAGCUCUAAAAGAUUAAAGAGAAGCGUUGGUCCUUAAAAAUCUCUCAGUGUCUGAAAUGCUGUUUCUGACGUGUAGAGCUGGCCUGAGUGCAGUGUACAGGGCUGCAGAGGGAGGUGUGCUCUGUAUAUUUAACCAGACUGAGAGUGAAAGCUGCAUAUCAGAGUUUAGCAGAGCUAAGGCUUCACAGUCAAACCUCAACACUCUCAUCAUAUUGCAUGUCGCUCUCAGCUAACAUGUGGUAUUUGUGUAAAAUGCAUGAAAUGUAAUGAAAAAUGCAUAAAUAAAUGUCCAGUCAUAAA